rnacentral:rRNA from 1 species
AGUAAGCGGAGGAAAAGAAACUAACGAGGAUUCCCUUAGUAGCUGCGAGCGAACAGGGAAAAGCCCAGCACUGAAUCCCGGGGGCCUCGCCUCCAGGGAAAUGUAGUGUUUGGGAGGGUCCAUACACCCGAUUCCGUCGCACUGCGUCCAAGUCCAUCUUGAAAGAGGCCACGGUCCCGAGAGGGUGCCAGGCCCGUGGUAGGCCAGUGCAGGUGUUGGGUGGACCUCUCCUCAGAGUCAGGUUGCUUGAGAGUGCAGCCCUAAGCGGGUGGUAAACUCCAUCUAAGGCUAAAUACAACCACGAGACCGAUAGCGAACAAGUACCGUGAGGGAAAGUUGAAAAGAACUUUGAAGAGAGAGUUCAAGAGUACGUGAAACCGCUCAGGGGUAAACGGAAAAGACCCGAAAUUUCCGAAGAGGGAGAUUCACGUCUUCUCGCGGGUUCGACGCAUCCAUUCCUCUUCGACGACCCUGCCCCCGCUCGGACUCGUUCGGUGCGUGGCGGUCGGGUUGCAGAGGGUGGUGUGGAGGCCUGCGGCGGACCGCACUUCUCCCUUAGUAGGACGUCGUGACCCGUCCGGUCAUGGUCAUAAGAGUGUUGGGUGGAGCCUGUCCGAUCGUGUUCGCACGUCUUCGGGCAGACCCCUGCGCUCCGGCCAUGAAUUUCGGUCGGUAUCGAAUGACAGUGUUAGGUCGCUUGCCGGCGGAGGAAACUCCUGCCAGUGAGUGCGUGUGGCUCUCGACAAGGUGCCGGGAUGUUGGGUCAAGGCGGGCUCCCGUCCGUCCGGCCCCACUCGGCCCUGUUGGUCUUGUUGCUCUCACGCUGGCCAAUUCUAUAUGACACUCGUCUACGGCGAAUCAGUUUUGGGCUCUUGUCCGACCCGUCUUGAAACACGGACCAAGGAGUUCAGCGUGUACGCGAGUCAUUGGGUGAAAAAACCCAAAGGCGUAAUGAAAGUGAAGGGAACUUUACGUUUCUGAGGGAGGAUGAGUCGGUUACCCGCAAGGGGCUGCUCCGCACUCCCGGGGCGUCUCUUUCUCAUUGCGAGUGGAGGCGCACCCAGAGCGUACACGCUGAUACCCGAAAGAUGGUGAACUAUGCCUGGCCAGGACGAAGCCAGGGGAAACCCUGGUGGAGGUCCGCAGCGAUUCUGACGUGCAAAUCGAUCGUCGGAGCUGGGUAUAGGGGCGAAAGACCAAUCGAACCAUCUAGUCUUGAACUUUGUUUUUGAAGCCGGGGGCUCGGAUCAGAGUGCCAAGUGGGCCAAUUUUGGUAAGCAGAACUGGCGCUGUGGGAUGAACCAAACGUCGAGUUAAGGCGCCCAAAUCGACGCUCAUGUGAAACCAUGAAAGGCGUUGGUUGCUUAAGACAGCAGGACGGUGGCCAUGGAAGUCGGAAUCCGCUAAGGAGUGUGUAACAACUCACCUGCCGAAGCAACUAGCCCUGAAAAUGGAUGGCGCUGUAGCGUCGUGCCUAUACUCGACCGUCAACGGCAAAGGUGGCUGGCGGGCAACCGUCGGCCGUUACGCCUUGACGAGUAGGAGGGCCGCGGCGGCGUGCGUAGAAGGGUCUGGGCGCGAGCCUGCCUGGAGCCGCCGUCGGUGCAGAUCUUGGUGGUAGUAGCAAAUACUCCAGCGAGGCCCUGGAGGACUGAUGUGGAGAAGGGUUUCUUGUGAACAGCUGUUGCACAAGAGUCAGUCGGUCCUAAGCCCUAGGAGAAAUCCGAAGCGAUGGGUUGCCGUUAAUAUGAUAUUCAAAAUAUGAAGGCACCCGUUUGGGCGAAAGGGAAUCUGGUUCCUAUUCCAGAACCUGGCAGUGGAACCGUUCCAAUUCGGGCCCUCUGAGGACUCGUCAGGGCAACCUGAAUAGACCCGGAGACGCCGACAGGAGGUUGGGGGAGAGUUGUCUCUUCUCUAUAAGCGAUCGAGUUCCCUGGAAACUUCUAGCAAGGAGAUAGGGUUUGGAUCGCGAAGAGCACUGCAGUUACGGCAGUGUCCCAAUCUUCCUCUCGGACCUUGAAAAUCCGGGUGAGGGCCACGAGGAACCCCACGCCAGACCGUACCCAUAUCCGCAGCAGGUCUCCAA